AAAAUACUGUCUUCUGGAUGCUUUGGGUAGUGCAUGUGAUUCUAGAGCCCUCUUAUGUGUGCUUAGGGUAUUGCAGGGGGGAAUCUGUCACCAUCAUCUUCAUGCUGACAGUGCUGAAUGGGAAGGCAAUUCACUCUUCUAAAUGCAUGGGACUCUAUCGUACUCUUUUGGGUACUUCAGCUGGUGUCACAGGAGUGGUUUCAAUCCCAUGCUCGGACUCUCCCACCCUGAGCAGAGCCGCUCCUUGGGUCAGGAAGAUCUGCAUGGACAUCGCAGUACAGCUUCAUUCCCAAUUGCAGUCACCCGCCCACCCACCCAGAAUCUCUCACAGCCCUCAAAGCCUCUGCCACCUAAGGAGACCAGCAGUGAAACCUAGCUUCACUGCCGCUGCAACUGAGAUGGCACAGGCUCAAUUGCAUGCCCUUACAAGUGCAAAACUGGCCCCGCCCCCGCCCCCGCCCCCGCCUCGCCCCAGCUCACAGCGUUUGGCCUCCCCCUCCCUGCUCCAGCUCUCUGCCCCUCCCUGGGCCGCUUAGCCCUGCUGGGCUGCAGGUCCCUCAGCCACUGCCUCCACCGCCCCUGCCCAGGGCCCGAAGAGCAGGCAGUGGCUCUGUACUGGAUACUGCCACUGGAGGCUGCAACGCCCGGAGCCGGCUACUGCCCUGCUGGUUUACAAAACCGUUUCUUUUAAUGAAAUCCCGCCCAUUUUAACCUUGUAUAGUAGCCACUUUGAGAAGUUUCAGAUUACAUCGCAAUGUAU
rnacentral:lncRNA from 1 species